AGCGAACGUUUGCGGCGGGCUUAACACAUGCAAGUCGAACGAGAAUCCCUUCGGGGAGGAAAGUGGCGCACGGGUGCGUAACACGUGGAUAACCAACCCAUUGGUUUGGGACAACACCGGGAAACUGGUGCUAAUACCAGGUGUGUCGCAGCUGUCUUCAGGCGGUUGCGAGAAAGGCCCGCAAGGGUCGCCAACGGACGGGUCCGCGUCCCAUCAGCUAGUUGGUGAGGUAAUGGCUCACCAAGGCAAAGACGGGUAGCUGGUCUGAGAGGAUGAUCAGCCACACUGGAACUGAGACACGGUCCAGACUCCUACGGGAGGCAGCAGUGGGGAAUAUUGCGCAAUGGGCGAAAGCCUGACGCAGCCACGCCGCGUGAGCGAUGAAGGUCUUCGGAUCGUAAAGCUCUGUGGGGGGAGAAGAAGAAAGCCGGUGAAGAGCCGGCCCUGACGGUAUCCCCUUAGCAAGCACCGGCUAACUCCGUGUCAGCAGCCGCGGUAAUGU
rnacentral:rRNA from 1 species